rnacentral:lncRNA from 1 species
UGCCACAACCAUGGGAGACUGGAGCGAGGACACAAGACAGAAAAGACUGGAGUGAUGGGCAGCACGAGCAGAGCCUGGGGCCGGUGCCUCCUCCCUUGGGCGGGCAUGGUGUGUCUACCAUGCUGUCCCGGUUGCUGCUCAACUUCAGGUACUGGCAGGAUAAACCAAGAAGCAUGCGUUUCAAGUGCCCCUGCAGUUUUUGCAUGUCUCACCAAUGGGAUCCUUCUGACAACUCUAGACUAAGGGGGUGAGUAGAACACAGAGUUAGUGUAGG